rnacentral:pre_miRNA from 1 species
GUACUCCUCCCUCCGUUCGGAAUUACUCGUCAAAAAAUGAAUGUGUCUAGAUGUAUUUUAGUUGUAGAUAUAUCCAUUUUUGUGACAAGUAAUUCCGAACGGAGGGAGUAAUAA